rnacentral:lncRNA from 1 species
AAAAGUCAAAGUCCCCAGAGGCUGGACUCCAGUUGAACCAAAGGCUGUCUGUCGUGUUCCGAUUGGACCCCCUGAGAUGACUCACAGAGGCUGGGACUUAAACAGAAGAAAAAUUGUUACUGAGAACAAAACAGAAACACAGGCAUUUUGGCCCACAGGUCUCUAUUAAGAGAAAAAUACAAAGAAUAAAUGAGUAAGGCUCUUGAAACCAUUGAAUUGUACAAACUUUGGUGGUUUUAAAUCUGGAUUUGUGAAUAGCUGAGCCCGUUCACUGUCCCAUUUUGGAGUUGGACAACAUCAUUGUCACUAUCAACAUGACUUUGUCCCUUCUUGCUGUC